rnacentral:rRNA from 1 species
UACGGAGGGUGCAAGCGUUAAUCGGAAUUACUGGGCGUAAAGCGUGCGUAGGUGGUUCGUUAAGUCCGUUGUGAAAGCCCCGAGCUCAACUUGGGAAUUGCAGUGGAUACUGGCGAGCUGGAGUGCGGUAGAGGAAGGUGGAAUUCCCGGUGUAGCGGUGAAAUGCGUAGAGAUCGGGAGGAACACCAGUGGCGAAGGCGGCCAUCUGGACCAGCACUGACACUGAGGCACGAAAGCGUGGGGAGCAAACAGG